GUAGCCAUUGCAUGCAAUAGAGGCCUGCUUUCCUGGGGAUGGCUGAACACCUGCCUGCCUCUGGGAUGGUUUUAAAUAGGUGGAGGAAUAUUUCCUGAGCUCACAGAGAUAUUCAGAAGAUGGGGCUCAACUCAUGAGCAUCAAAUUUUGGAAAAAGCAUUAUUUUAUCCAUUUUUGCCUCACUGUGAUUUGAAUAACAACUGGUGUAGAAAGAAGAAGUCCUGCAAUGCUUUUCAUAAAUGAAAUUAUCAAGUUUCUACAAUUUAAAGGGCCAAGGGAAAACUGACAUACCCCUUGUGUAAAAGGCUUCUUCAGUCUUUUCAACUUUUUGCCUUAAAACUGUGCAGAUGGAGAGAAGAAAGGAAGGAAGAUGCAUUAUUUUCUUUAGUAGCGAAGCCUGAAACCUUAAUGCUGUUAUGAUUCUAUAACUUGUCUUUGGUUGCCUUAAGUCUUCAUAAAUAUUCAGGUCCCACCUUUUCAGUUUCUGCUGUGGAUUUCAACACCUGAAUGAAACCCUUUCCUUUGCAAAUCUCCUACCAAA